rnacentral:tRNA from 2 species
GCCCGAGUGGUGGAAUGGUAGACACGAAGGACUUAAAAUCCUUUGGCCAUCGCGGCCGUGCCGGUUCGAGUCCGGCCUCGGGUA